rnacentral:lncRNA from 1 species
GAUUCAUACAGCUGUUCUUUUAUUAGUAACAAUGGAAACAUUCUCCUUUAUGUUUUGCCAGAACAGACAAAGUCCUCUUGAGCAAACCAAAUCUAUCUCUGGGAUUUGCCAGGACUGUGUCAUCAGCCUGACUCUCCACAGGAAAGAGAGAAGGGAGUGAGGAAAGAACAUAACAUUGAGUGUUUCGUGUAUGCCAGACUUCGUGAUCUGAUCUGCACAUUCAGGACCCCCAUUUUAUGAAAGCAACAACAUACCUAGCUUUGAGAACGCUGCAUUUUUCAGACUCCUUUCAGCUACAGAUGUCCAUGUGACACAGCUUUACCAACGAGAUGGAAGUAGAAGUCACUGGGUGGCACUUCUGGAACAGCCCUUUAAAGGGAGGUGGCUGACUAUUGCUUUGUUGGUGUCUUCCACCAACAAGUUUGUCCACCAACAAGUUUGUCCAUCUCAACUUGCCCAUUCUCCUUCCCCUUCUUUCCUGAAAUGUGGAUAUGAUGCUGUAAGGGCUUUGGCAAUCUGGGGACCACAAAUGACAAGCAAAUGCUAAGGAUGCUUGAAUAGACAAAGGUGCCUGGGUCCCUGAUG